rnacentral:rRNA from 1 species
AUUGAACGCUGGCGGCAGGCCUAACACAUGCAAGUCGCGCGGAGCGGCGGUCGGGCGAGUAAUUCCUAGGAAUCUGCCUGUUAGCUGGGGUUAACGUCCGGAAACGGGCGGUUAUACCGCAUCCUAUCAUUUGGGCCUAGGUCGGAUUGGCCCGUGGGUGGGGUAAGGGCCUACCAGGCAGACGCUCCGGAACUGGUCUGCGCGGCUGAUCAGUCACACUGGAACUGAGACACGGUCCAGACUCCUACGGGAUGCAGCGGUGGGGUAGAUGGGACAAUGGGCGAAAGCCUGAUCCAUCCAUGCCGCGUGUGUGAAGAAGGUCUUCGGAUUGUAAAGCACUUUAAGUUGGGAGGCGUUACCUACAGAAUAAGCACCGGCUAACUUCGUGCCAGCAGCCGCGGUAAUAC